rnacentral:rRNA from 1 species
CGAGCGCAACCCUUGUCCUUAGUUACCAGCACGUAUGGUGGGCACUCUAAGGAGACUGCCGGUGACAAACCGGAGGAAGGUGGGGAUGACGUCAAGUCAUCAUGGCCCUUACGGCCUGGGCUACACACGUGCUACAAUGGUCGGUACAAAGGGUUGCCAAGCCGCGAGGUGGAGCUAAUCCCAUAAAACCGAUCGUAGUCCGGAUCGCAGUCUGCAACUCGACUGCGUGAAGUCGGAAUCGCUAGUAAUCGUGAAUCAGAAUGUCACGGUGAAUACGUUCCCGGGCCUU